rnacentral:rRNA from 1 species
GAUGAACGCUGGCGGCGUGCCUAAUACAUGCAAGUCGAGCGAAAAGACGAGGAGCUUGCUCCUAUGACGUUAGCGGCGGACGGGAGAGUAACACGUGGAUAAACUAACUAUAAGAAUGGGAUAACUACGGGAAACCGGAGCUAAUACCGGAAAAUAUAUUGAACCGCAAGGUUCAAUAGUGAAAGACGGUUUUGCUGUCACUUAAAGAUUGAUCAGCGCAUCAUUAGCUAGUUGGUAAGGUAACGGCUUACCCAGGCGACGAUGCGUAGCCGACCUAAGAGGGUGAUCGCCCACACUGGAUCUGAGACACGGUCCAGACUCCGACGGGGGGCAGCAGCAGGGAAUCUUCCGCGAUGGACGAAAGCCUGACGGUGCAACGCCGCGGGAGUGAUGAAGGUCUUCUGAUCGUAGAGCUCUGUUAUUAGGGAAGAACUAAUGUGUAAGUAACUAUGCUCGUCUUGACGGUACCUAAUCAGAAAGCCACGGCUAACUACGUG